UUUACUUUCUCCACUCUCUUCGUCACUUCACCUCAUUUCUCUGAUUAUCUCUCUUUAUCACUAUCUAUCUCUCCAAACGGACCAAACCUAAGCAUCAGACUAUCAGAGGGCAUUAAAACAAAAAGGAACAAAGGAUAUGAGUUUUGUGCUUGCGAUUUUAUCAUUUUUGGCAAGAGUGGUCCGAUUGGGUUCCUCCUAAGAGAAGGUGGAGUUUAAGGAUAAGGAUAGUAAUCUCACAUCCACCUUGAAAAUAGAGAUCUUUCACUCCUUUUUGGUCUCUUCAAGCACCGAUCUUCUCCAUCCAGUAAGCUCUGAUCUUGGUGCCAACUCAGCUUUAUAUGACAAAUUAUCAAAUAAAAAACUGGAUGAGAAAGGGGAGAGAGUCUUAAAGGGCACUAUGAGGGAGAGAAAAGGUCCAUUAAGGAAAAGAGAUAUUUGAAGGCCACCACCAUGUCAGACCAUCAUCUACCUUCAGCUUAGGCUCCCGCCACUGUUAUAUUCCACCAGAAACACUCCCAGUAGAGGAGGUUGAGUGAUGAAGAAAAGAAGGGCACCAUCGAAGAUAUCUAAAACCCAUUUUACCUCAGAUUUGACAGCCAUUAAAGGUUGUUGCUGUUGCACUGAAGUGUGAAACAACCUAGGCACAAUUUGAUGACAUGGUUACCAGAUCCAGAAGAUAUCCCAAAUGCCCAAAAGUCACCUGGGAUAGGACACAAUCAGAAAGCUCAUGCCGUU